AUUGAACGCUGGCGGCAGGCCUAACACAUGCCAGUCGAGCGGAUGAAGGGAGCUUGCUCCUGGAUUCAGCGGCGGACGGGUGAGUAAUGCCUAGGAAUCUGCCUGGUAGUGGGGGCUAACGUCCGGAAACGGGCGCUAAUACCGCAUCCGUCCUGAGGGAGAAAGUGGGGGAUCUUCGGACCUCACGCUACCAGAUGAGCCUAGGUCGGAUUAGCUAGUUGGUGGGGUAAAGGCCUACCAAGGCGACGAUCCGUAACUGGUCUGCGAGGCUGAUCAGCCACACUGGAAACUAGAAACGGUCCCGACUCCUACGGGAGGGAGCAGUAGGGAAUUUUCCGAAAUGGGGGAAAACCCUACGCCACAACUGCGCGUGAGUGAUGAAAGUCUUCGGAUUUUAAAACUCUUUUAUGUGGGAAGAAAGGACGUGAAAGUAAAUCUUCACGUUUUGAAGGUACCCAAUAAGAAAGCCCCGGCUAACUACGUG
rnacentral:rRNA from 1 species